UGAGGAAUAUUGGGCAAUGCCCGCAAGGGUGACCCAGCAACGCCGCGUGGAGGAUGAAUGUCGUAAGAUUGUAAACUCCUGUUAGAGGGGAAGAAUAGUACCGGUUGGACCGGUAUAUGACUGUACCCUCAGAGAAAGCCCCGGCUAACUACGUGCCAGCAGCCGCGGUAAUACGUAGGGGGCAAGCGUUGUCCGGAUUUACUGGGUGUAAAGGGCGCGCAGGCGGAAUGGAAAGUCAGUGGUGAAAUCCUACAGCUUAACUGUAGAACUGCCUUUGAUACUUUCAUUCUUGAGUUCGGGAGAGAGAGACGGAAUUCCAGGUGCAGUGGUGAAGUACGUAGAUAUCUGGAAGAACACCAGUUGCGAAGGCGGUCUCUUGGUCCGAUACUGACGCUGAGGCGCGAAAGCGUGGGGAGCAAACA
rnacentral:rRNA from 1 species